GUGUCAGCCGCCGCGGUAAUACGAAGGGUGCAAGCGUUACUCGGAAUUACUGGGCGUAAAGCGUGCGUAGGCGGUUGGUUAAGUCUGUCGUGAAAGCCCUGGGCUCAACCUGGGAAUUGCGAUGGAAACUGGCCAGCUAGAGUGUGUCAGAGGAUGGUGGAAUUCCCGGUGUAGCGGUGAAAUGCGUAGAGAUCGGGAGGAACACCCGUGGCGAAGGCGGCCAUCUGGGACAACACUGACGCUGAGGCACGAAAGCGUGGGGAGCAAACAGGAUUAGAUACCCUGGUAGUCCACGCCCUAAACUAUGCGAACUGGAUGUUGGGCACACUUAGGUGCUCAGUGUCGAAGCUAACGCGUUAAGUUCGCCGCCUGGGGAGUACGGUCGCAAGACUGAA
rnacentral:rRNA from 1 species